rnacentral:rRNA from 1 species
UACGGAGGGGGCUAGCGUUGUUCGGAAUUACUGGGCGUAAAGCGCACGUAGGCGGCUUUGCAAGUCAGAGGUGAAAGCCCGGGGCUCAACCCCGGAACGGCCUUUGAAACUAGAUAGCUAGAGUCUUGGAGAGGUUAGUGGAAUUCCGAGUGUAGAGGUGAAAUUCGUAGAUAUUCGGAAGAACACCAGUGGCGAAGGCGACUAACUGGACAAGUACUGACGCUGAGGUACGAAAGCGUGGGGAGCAAACAGG